UGUAGGAACAGGAGGGAACGGAGAACUUUGUGUGCUUCUUAAAGGGGGGAGGGGUGUCUUACUAUCGUAGCUCCCCUCCCUCCCCCAAGAUAAACGCACAAGAGGUUAGGGGAGAGCUUACUUUAAGUGAUUUAAUAAAACUGGGAGCCAUAAACAAGCAUGGAUUUCUAUGGGCCCGCAAGCGAUAUAGGGCCACGUAGUCCAUCCAGCCCAAACGGGGACUGGGAGGAAAAAGCCAAAUGAGGAAUUGCAUUUGGAACUUGUCGAGCUCCUGGCAAUCCAACUACCCUUCGCCACUGCCCCUAGCCCGGGCGAGAUUUUUUUCUAUGGCAGAGGCAAAUUGGGGUGUAUCGGGGUUGAGGAUAUGGUAGGUAGAGGGACGGAGCCCGAGGAGGAGGAGGAGGGAGGAGGAGAAGACCGCGAGAGGGACCCGAAAGUGCGCUCCCCGGCUUAGGCCCAACAGGAUCUCCGGACUUGCGUGGCAGGCGCAUUCGUCGGCCUUACCGCCUCCACGGCGUGCUGCAGGAUGGAGGUGAACUUGGAGAACAUCCUGUCCCUGGACUGGAGCAGCCGCUGCCGGGAGGAUCGCGAGAGCUCCUCGAUCCGCCGCCUCCGCUCCAGGCAUUCCAUGGAACUUCUCCACUUUGUCUCCAAAGCAGACAAGUUUCAUGCUGGAAGUGGGGUGGGAAGAGCACUCUGGAGCAGCAGUGCAGUGGUGGCAGCAAGAGACAGAAUGGCUGGCAAAGGUGGAUGCCCACUGCCUGCUAGAUCAAGCAACAGUGUCAGCCAGAGGACAUGCAGUGUGCCAUCAAAGAGGCCAGCAAGGGAAAGAAGGACAACAUCAGCGCUGGACUUUGGCCAGUGUCAGGGCUUCCUUCAGUGACAUCAGGGCAGGUGUGCUAUUGGUGCAUCGCCACCCUUUUCGCUUUUUGGACCGGUUGCUCGUGCAGACUGGUCCAAUGUGUCUUGUAGUGAAUGGUGGUGUUGCAUUUGUCCUUCCCCCCGGACAGAUCCUGCUGAAAAUCACUGCCCCCUCCCCACAAAUGCUAUUUUCCCCUGAGACAGUUAUUUCCAACAAAUCCAUUAUGUUAAAUAUUUUUUGUCUGCUGAACGUAUAUAGAAUUUUGGUGUGUUUGUCAAAAUACUAUAAAUAAAAUAAUUUAAUCUA